GGCUCCAUAGCUCAGGGUUAGAGCACUGGUCUUGUACCAGGGGUCGUGAGUUCAAUUCUCACUGGGGCCU